GCAGGUUAAGAUCCUCUCUGAGAAAGAAGCAUGAGACUACUAUGAAUUGUGAUAUUCUAUCCAGUUUGUGCUAUGGAGGCCACACUAUCACAGAAAUGAACCACUGCUUAUCAUCUCUACUCCUGGAAAGGUUGCCUCUGACCUGGAGCUCAAUUCUCUCCUGGACAAGAAAGGAAGAAGGCAUUUCCAGGUGAACAGAAACCUUGCCUCUCUUAGAAACAUAAAGACCAUGCUCUGGUUGGUGCGAGGGGAUAAUUGUUGCUGAGAAGACAGCCAGAUACUAUCCACAAGACAAGACAAAUCCAAUUGAAUGUUUGUAUGCGUAUGAGACAAAUUUUAUUUCUCCAGAGUGUUGGGAAUGUUUCUUAGAUAUAUACUUCUUGUCUAGGUCUAAAAUAAUAAAGAAGAUAGA